UAUUUUGCGCAGCGGCAAUAUCGUAACCAAUGAGGUUUAUCCGAGGUGCGAUUAUUGCUAGUUGAAAACUUCACUUCAUUUGGGUCUUACUUCUUACACAAAGGUUACUAAAGGUACUUGUUAGUAGAAGGGGCUAAUAAUUUUUUUACUUCUACUUACACACAAGUUGA
rnacentral:snRNA from 1 species